rnacentral:rRNA from 2 species
UCCUGAAGGAACGUUGAAGACGACGACGUUGAUAGGCCGGGUGUGUAAGCGCAGCGAUGCGUUGAGCUAACCGGUACUAAUGAACCGUGAGGCUUAACCCUACAACGCCGAAG